rnacentral:rRNA from 1 species
UACGAACUGUGCAACCGUUAUUCGGAAUCACUGGGCUUAAAGGGUGCGUAGGCGGCUUAUCAAGUAGGGUGUGAAAGCCCCCGGCUUAACCGGGGAAUUGCGCCCUAAACUGACGAGCUGGAGUGGGACAGGGGUGUGUGGAACUUCCGGUGGAGCGGUGAAAUGUGUUGAUAUCGGAAGGAACGCCGGUGGCGAAAGCGACACACUGGGUCUCAACUGACGCUGAGGCACGAAAGCCAGGGGAGCGAACGGG